CCAAUAACCAAUAAACAAAAGGUACACCAUGAAUUGGUGCAUUACUUCUUAUUCCUAAUCCAAAAACCAUCCAGUAAACCAUAAUUUGCAUAACAGGGUUAAUUAAUUCCCAUGCCACACCUAAAUAGUUACUAUGAUUGAUAAUUUUAACUUGAAACUGAGCCAGUCUUUGAAUUAAAUAAAAGUUCUUUACAUGUUCUUUAAAAACUGUUCCUAUUGCUGACAUUCCAUUAAACCACACUUUCAAAUGUUUAACUAUUUCUCUACUUAACUAAAUAGUAUUAUAAUAAUUGUUGUAAAUACUAUCACUAUACAUGGAUGCUAUCAAAUUAUUGUCUAGUUCUUUAAAAUAUUAGUUUAUUACAAAUACAUUAUAGUAUACAAUCAUGUAAGUUGAAAUAAGUUUAGUUUUUAAAUAUCAUUGUUAUCAUUGAUGCUUAACAUUUUGUAUCAAAACACCAACUCUGAUAAUAACAAAAUCUUCUAUACACUUUACAACAGGUUUUAAAAUUUAACAACUGUUGAGUAGUAUAUUAUAAUCUAGAUAAAUGUGAAUAAGGAAGGUC
rnacentral:sRNA from 1 species